UACGAAGGGGACUAGCGUUGUUCGGAAUCACUGGGCGUAAAGCGCACGUAGGCGGAUUUGUAAGUCAGGGGUGAAAUCCCGGGGCUCAACCUCGGAACUGCCUUUGAUACUGCGAAUCUCGAGUCCGAUAGAGGUGGGUGGAAUUCCUAGUGUAGAGGUGAAAUUCGUAGAUAUUAGGAAGAACACCCGUGGCGAAGGCGGCCCACUGGGCCGGUGCUGACGCUGAGGCGCGAAGGCGUGGGGAGCGAACGGG
rnacentral:rRNA from 1 species